rnacentral:rRNA from 1 species
ACCCGCUGAACUUAAGCAUAUUACUAAAGGCAGGACAAGAAAAUAACAAUGAUUCCCCCAGUAACUGCGAGUUAAGUGGGAAGAGCCCAACGUUGAAAGCUGCGACUCUAACGGGUCGUCGCAUUGUAACGUAUAGAUUUGUUCUCAAGGCAGUUGCCUGCAUCAAAGUUACAUAGAAUAGUACACCAGAGAGGGUGGUAGUCCCGUGCGUGAUGCAGGUCACAAAACUGUCAAGUAGACAAACUCUAAGAGUCGAGUUGUUUGGGAAUGCAGCUCAAAUCGGGUGGUAAACUCCAUCUAAGGCUAAAUACAGACACGAGACCGAUAGCGAACAAGUACCGUGAGGGAAAGUUGAAAAGUACUCUGAAAAGAGAGUGAAAAGUACGUGAAACCGUUAAUGGGGAAGCAGACAGUGGAAUCGAAGCUAUGUCCGUAUUGUGCAGUGUGGUCGCGAUCGUUUUGGUGUUGCUAUUACAUCCUUCUCAUUGUAUGUAUUACGGUGCAUAGCGCGCUGGGCCCAUCGUUUACACAAACAGCGCUGAAAUUGAUUGCGCAGGUCGGUCUGUAGUGCAGCUGCAUGCAAGUGUUGACAGCCUUAAAAACUGUUGAUCGUUGUGUAGUGCAUUAUCGAGGUUGUAGGACCAACAGAGACGAUGUGGUGGACAUUUGUGCGGUGCCAGUAAUGGGUGCAUGUUGAUGCACUUUGAGAGCAACAGUGCAAACUGGGCUAUGUGUAUGGUUGCAUUGAUUUGCAUAUUGGAUUCUACAGUGGCGACACUGAGGCCAGUGUGUAAAGGUGUGACUACACCUAGCUGCGAACAUUGUGCGUGAGGAUGUUACCAAUUGCACGCGUGUCGGUAGUGUGCAUAUCCCAGCGAGAUAUGGUACUGUCUGACCCGUCUUGAAACACGGACCAAGGAGGCUAACGUAUGCGCAAGUCGAGGAGUGGUGAAACUCUAAGGCGAAACGAAAGUGAAAAGUGAGAUCCCCCUGAAGGUGUGAGUAGUCUCCUCGUAAGAGAUGAAAAAUAGAGGGGGGCGCAUCACUGGCCAGUCUACGUCGGUGACAACGGCAUUUAUGAUUGAGCUGGAGCGUAUGCGAUAGGACCCGAAAGAUGGUGAACUAUGCCUGGGUAGGGCAAAGCCAGAGGAAACUCUGGUGGAGGCUCGAAGCGGUUCUGACGUGCAAAUCGAUCGUCAAACCUGGGUAUAGGGGCGAAAGACUAAUCGAACCAUCUAGUAGCUGGUUCCCUCCGAAAUAUCCCUCAGGAUCGCCGGAGCCCGAGCCAUUAGCAGUUUCAUCAGGUAGAGCGAAUGAUUAGAGGAAUUGGGGUCAUAACAGGCUUCGACCUAUUCUCAAACUGCCAACUGGUGUGGUUGGUGGACACGUUGCUUAAUUGAACGAGUUCACAUGAAACGAAUGCUAGGGUUCCGAGUGGGCCAUUUUUGGUAAGCAGAACUGGCGAUGCGGGAUGAA